UGGGGAAUAUUGCACAAUGGGCGCAAGCCUGAUGCAGCCAUGCCGCGUGUGUGAAGAAGGCCUUCGGGUUGUAAAGCACUUUCAGCGAGGAGGAAGGCAGUCGUGUUAAUAGCACGGUUGAUUGACGUUACUCGCAGAAGAAGCACCGGCUAACUCCGUGCCAGCAGCCGCGGUAAUACGGAGGGUGCAAGCGUUAAUCGGAAUUACUGGGCGUAAAGCGCACGCAGGCGGUUUGUUAAGUCAGAUGUGAAAUCCCCGCGCUUAACGUGGGAACUGCAUUUGAAACUGGCAAGCUAGAGUCUUGUAGAGGGGGGUAGAAUUCCAGGUGUAGCGGUGAAAUGCGUAGAGAUCUGGAGGAAUACCGGUGGCGAAGGCGGCCCCCUGGACAAAGACUGACGCUCAGGUGCGAAAGCGUGGGGGAGCAAACA
rnacentral:rRNA from 1 species